rnacentral:rRNA from 1 species
GAUCCUGGCUCAGGACGAACGCUGGCGGCGUGCUUAACACAUGCAAGUCGAACGAAGAGCGAUGGAAGCUUGCUUCUAUCAAUCUUAGUGGCGAACGGGUGAGUAACGCGUAAUCAACCUGCCCUUCAGAGGGGGGACAACAGUUGGAAACGACUGCUAAUACCGCAUAUGAUCCAAUCUCGGCAUCGAGACUGGAUGAAAAGGUGGGCCUCUAUUUAUAAGCUAUC